rnacentral:rRNA from 1 species
AAGGAGGCGGAACGGCCAGCUGACAGCAGCGUCCGCGCGGUUUCCCUCGGGAUGAAGCGCGGAUGACUGAGUGGCGGAACGGGUGAGUCACGCGUGGGCAACCCGCCCCGUGCCGGGGGACAACAGCCGGAAACGGCCGCUAAUAACCGCAUGAUUCCGGGAGGGCCGCACGGCCCUCGCCGGGAAAGCUCCGGCGGCACGGGAUGGGCCCGCGUCUGAUUAGUUUGUUGGCGGGGUAACGGCCCACCAAGACUGCGAUCAGCAGCCGGCCUGAGAGGGCGGCCGGCCACAUUGGGACUGAGACACGGCCCAGACUCCUGCGGGAGGCAGCAGUGGGGAAUAUUGCACAAUGGGGGAAACCCUGAUGCAGCGACGCCGCGUGGGCGACGAAGCGCUCCGGCGCGUAAAGCCCUGUCAGCAGGGAAGAAAAAAGACAGUACCUGACCAAGAAGCCCCGGCUAACUACGUGCCAGCAGCCGCGGUAAUACGUAGGGGGCAAGCGUUAUCCGGAUUCACUGGGCGUAAAGGGAGCGCAGGCGGCACGGCAAGUCUGGUGUGAAAGCCCGGGGCCCAACCCCGGGACUGCAUUGGAAACUGCCGGGCUGGAGUGCCGGAGGGGUAAGCGGAAUUCCUGGUGUAGCGGUGAAAUGCGCAGAUAUCAGGAAGAACACCGGUGGCGGAGGCGGCUUACUGGACGGCAACUGACGCUGAGGCUCGAAAGCGUGNGGAGCAAACAGGAUUAGAUACCCUGGUAGUCCACGCCGUANACGAUGAAUACCAGUUGUCGGGCGGGNAGGGGCCCGCCGGUGCCCCAGCUAACGCAGUAAGUAUUCCGCCUGGGGAGUACGUUCGCAAGAAUGAAACUCAAAGGAAUUGACGGGGACCCGCACAAGCGGUGGAGCAUGUGUUUUAUUUCGAAGCAACGCCAAAAACCUUUACAGGCCCUUGAA